rnacentral:rRNA from 1 species
AACGAACGCUGGCGGCAUGCCUAACACAUGCAAGUCGAACGAACCCUUCGGGGUUAGUGGCGCACGGGUGCGCAACGCGUGGGAAUCUGCCCUUUGCUUCGGAAUAACAGUUAGAAAUGACUGCUAAUACCGGAUAAUGUCUUCGGACCAAAGAUUUAUCGGCAAAGGAUGAGCCCGCGUAGGAUUAGCUAGUUGGUGGGGUAAAAGCUCACCAAGGCGACGAUCCUUAGCUGGUCUGAGAGGAUGAUCAGCCACACUGGGACUGAGACACGGCCCAGACUCCUACGGGAGGCAGCAGUGGGGAAUAUUGGACAAUGGGCGAAAGCCUGAUCCAGCAAUGCCGCGUGAGUGAUGAAGGCCUUAGGGUUGUAAAGCUCUUUUACCCGGGAUGAUAAUGACAGUACCGGGAGAAUAAGCUCCGGCUAACUCCGUGCCAGCAGCCGCGGUAAU